rnacentral:tRNA from 1 species
GCCUGGCUGGCUCCGUGGGAAGAACAUGAGACUUUUGAUCUCGGGGUUAUGAGUUCAAGCCCCAUGUUGGGUA